CCGACUGUCUGACUCGGCAGAGUCCGUCGAAGUACAGGAAAAGCCACCAAGAAGGCACUGUGCAAGGAGACAUUAGUCAAUAAAAGCGGAUGUUUGAGGUUUGUGCUACGUUGCCGCUUGAGGAAUUGAGGCAACAUCAGCCAUAUUGAUUGGUGGGCCGAAGACCAUGCCAUGCAAACAUUUCCGCUUCUGGACCACAAGAUGAGGGCUUGAGCAUGGUUAUGAUCUUGUGGCCUAAGUCAUACUAGAUGGUGGUGUGUGGAUUCAUGCAGACUUUCAAUUUUCCAUCCAUGAGGUGCCAUUGGAACAGGAGGAUGCUGAAGGAGUAAUUAUGGGUGAUGAUUUGCAAAAGGGUAAAACAAUAAACGUUGAAAACUAAGUUUAACACUGAC